rnacentral:rRNA from 1 species
GAUCAUGGCUCAGGACGAACGCUGGCGGCGUGCCUAACACAUGCAAGUCGAACGAAGCUCUGCGAUACAAGACUUCGGUCAAGUUGAACGGAUGACUUAGCGGCGGACGGGUGAGUAACGCGUGAGCAACCUGCCUUUAUCAGGGGGAUAACGCAUCAAAAGAUGUGCUAAUACCGCGUAAGACCACAGCCUCACAUGGGGCAGGGGUCAAAGGAGCAAUCCGGAUAAAGAUGGGCUCGCGUCCGAUUAGCUAGUUGGUGAGAUAACAGCCCACCAAGGCGACGAUCGGUAGCCGACCUGAGAGGGUGAUCGGCCACAUUGGAACUGAGAGACGGUCCAGACUCCUACGGGAGGCAGCAGUGGGGAAUAUUGGGCAAUGGGCGAAAGCCUGACCCAGCAACGCCGCGUGAGGGAAGAAGGGUUUCGGCUCGUAAACCUCUGUCCUAUGGGACGAAGGAAGUGACGGUACCAUAGGAGGAAGCCCCGGCUAACUACGUG